rnacentral:rRNA from 1 species
UACAGAGGGGGCAAGCGUUGUUCGGAAUUACUGGGCGUAAAGGGCGCGUAGGCGGCCUGCUAAGUCGAACGUGAAAUCCCUGGGCUCAACCCAGGAACUGCGUCCGAUACUGGUUGGCUUGAAUCCGGGAGAGGGAUGUGGAAUUCCAGGUGUAGCGGUGAAAUGCGUAGAUAUCUGGAGGAAUACCGGUGGCGAAGGCGGCAUCCUGGACCGGCAUUGACGCUGAGGAGCGAAAGCUAGGGGAGCAAACGGG